AUACUUUUACUUGACAGAGGAGGUACCGUGAUCAAGAAAGUGGUUUCCCCGGGGCGAAGCUUAUCCAUUGCACUGCAGAUAUGCUGAUCCCUGAGAUUUCCUCAAAUGUGGGAAACUGCGUUGCAUAAUUUAUGGCAGUGGGGGACAGCAUUUGCAUUUUUCCCUG
ensembl:snRNA U1 U1 spliceosomal RNA